AACAACCGCUUAUUUUCUCCCUUUUUCUUUUCUUCACAAAACUUCAGUGUUGCUCAGCCAUGGCAAGCUUGCCAUUUUGAAGCAAGAAGCCCUGCCCUCCAUUUAAUUUCUCUGCAGUACCAACGUUCAAUUUUCAAAUGGUUUAGUAUCCUUGACUCAAUUUCAAAAUCACGGCCCAAAUCAAGAACCCUAGAUUUUCACCUAUAAAAACCAGCACUUGGAGUCCAUCUAGACAUGUUUUUGGAGUCGCCCCCUUUACCCUAAAAAAUUGAUGAUUGUUAGCCGCCCUUUCACUCAAAAAACCAGAAGCUGGAGCUGCCUACUUUCACCCCACAUUUGAGAGGCUUUUUUUGGCUGCCUCUCCUCCCUAAAGCACUUAUGCCCUAUUGUUUUUUCUCUUUCCCAAAAACUGAUCUUCUUCGAGUUCUUUCUUUGUCUCUGUUUGGCUUCGACAAUAGUAGAUAAAUUCUUUCGUUGCUUUCUAGUAGAACUUAAGGUCGCGCGGCGGACCCAAGAUCCUCGCCCUCAGUUCACUGCUCUAAAGCAGAGCAAAAUAUGGAAUAUUAAUGCAAGACUCUCCAUUCCCGAGCAUGUAGUCAUCAUGUCUCAACUUCUAAAGUCACCAGAUAGCAAGAAAAACAAGCGGAACGCUUGGGGACGCCUAUGACGUCUUUACUCUUCUUUUCUUUCUGUCAUUCAUGAUUAUUUUGUGUCAUUUAUUUAUUUGUCUCAGUUUGGGGACUGUAUAAUCAUACCCAUAUCUGAGACUAAAAAGGAUAUUAUUUGACAUUCAAAAUUUUUUACUCUAAUGGUUAGCAAAGUACUUAUAGAGCAGAGCAUCAAUGUUAUGGACUCCUAAAAAAUCAGUAACA